rnacentral:rRNA from 1 species
GGGAUUGCCUUAGUAACUGCGAGUGAAGCGGCAAAAGCUCAAAUUUGAAAUCGGCGUCCUUUUCGGGCAUCGAGUUGUAAUUUGGAGGGAUAACUUCGGUACGGACUACAUCGUAAGUUCCUUGGAACAGGACGUCAUAGAGGGUGAGAAUCCCGUGUCUUGGUGUUUGGCCGUGCCAUGUGAAGUGUCUCCGACGAGUCGAGUUGUUUGGGAAUGCAGCUCAAAAUGGGUGGUAAAUUUCAUCUAAAGCUAAAUAUUGGCGAGAGACCGAUAGCGCACAAGUAGAGUGAUCGAAAGAUGAAAAGCACUUUGAAAAGAGAGUUAAAAAGUACGUGAAAUUGUUGAAAGGGAAGCGCUUGCGACCAGACUCGAUCUUUGGUGAUCAGCCGGGCUUCUGUCCGGUGCCCUUACCAUUGAUUGGACCAGCAUCGGUUCUGACGGCGGGAUAAAAGGAGGAGGAAUGUGGCUCCCUUCGGGGAGUGUUAUAGCCUCCUUCACAAUGCCGCCAGUUGGGACCGAGGACCGCGCUUCGGCUAGGAUGCUGGCGUAAUGGUCUUAAGCGACCCGUCUUGAAACACGGACCAAGGAGUCUAACAUCUAUGCGAGUGUUCGGGUGGAAAACCCUUGCGCGUAAUGAAAGUGAACGGAGGUGUGAACCCUUUACCGGGUGCAACAUCGACCGGUCCUGAUGUCUUCGGAAGGAUCUGAGUAAGAGCAUAGCUGUUGGGACCCGAAAGAUGGUGAACUAUGCCUGAAUAGGGUGAAGCCAGAGGAAACUCUGGUGGAGGCUCGCAGCGGUUCUGACGUGCAA